UUCAGCUUGCAUCUCUGUGCAUUUGGGGUGGCUUGAAAAAUGCUGAGAGAGAAUGAAGGAGUUACACUGCCUGACUUCAGCCUCAUGAUGUCUAGUGCAGAGGAGAAGAAAGGCACAGUGAGUCCUGAGCCUGCUCCUAUACAGAGGGCACUGAUAAGCAUGUGUAAUGGAAGCAGAGCACAGGAUCAUUCUCCAGCCCUCACCUCACUGGGAGGAGGAGGCUUGCCAUUGCACACCUGAGCUGCAGCAGCACCUACAGGCUUGUUCCUUCCAUUCACCCCAGCUGUGCCCCCUGAGGAUCCUUCUCAGCCUGCAUAGGAUCACUGCUAAUUCUCAUUCUCCACGAGUUGGCUGUGAUUGCAGCAGUGCCCACGCCCCCUGGGGAGCCACCAGCCCUGCUGCUGGAGCCACAGCGUGUCUGCAGGGCGCCCGGCAGGUCAGCAUCUAAGCAGACAAGAUGGAUGCGCAGCACAGCUGAAAGAAACACAGCGACUCCCAUUUCAGAGGCAGGAGAAAUGGAGCAGAAAAAAAGAUGAAGGCCCCGGUCUCCUCUGUGUAAAGUUUUGCUGACAAAAGUUCGUGUGCAUCCAUGAACUGGGGAAUUCCCCAGCUGGGAGUGAACCAGGAGGCAGGGUCAGGGCUCCCAUCUGCAGUGCCUGGUGUUGUUGCAGGGAUGUCUGGACUUGGGGCACUGAGAUGUGCAGCCACUGCUGGUCCUCGCUUGUGCCAGAGGUCUGGUGUUCUCAGUGUGCCAGAGAGGGCAGAGACAGGAGGAGGAUGCCCAGUGCUGUGCUUGGCAGUUGAAGAGACUCAAUCCCCCUGACUCUAAGAAGGCUGUGAUCCAGAGCAUGUCUCCAAAUCCUGGGCUCAUCUGAAGGCUAAUGGUGUCAAGAGGAAGGCCCCUGAUUGCUCUUGGAUGAGGCAGCUGAUGGAGCUUUCUCCAUCACUUGGUGGGAGGUGGUGAACUUGCUGGUGAAGGACAUGCCAGCUCCCUGUCCAGAAACUGCUGUGCUCUGGAGCAGGAGGGAGGAGCCAUCCAGCCAAAAGCAAUGACCUUAUCAUUAUUUGCCUCUUGCGCAAAACUCUGAUGAAAACAGAUGGAGUGUUUGCAAGUCUUUAAUAAAGACAAAAUAAACCAAAACAGAGCCUGGGAAUCUGAAGGCAAGAUUCUAUUUGCUCUUGGUCUUGCCAGGCAUGGCAGGAAGUGGGUUGUAAUAGUUGUCUUCUGGGGACAGCCCAAGGAGAAUGGGCACCUCAAGGUGGGCAGGGCGUGUUGUCCCCACUGAGCACUCUGUCUGCGGGAGCUGAGCCAGACACCUCCACCCUCAUCCAUCAGCAGGGAUGGAGCAGCCCAUGCCUCCCUCCUCCUUCCGCUGCUGUGUGCUUUGGACAUGCACUAAAAGCAGAGCUGUCGGUUAAAAUAAGAGCUGCUUUUCCGGCUCCCAGAGGAACCCUGCUGUGACCUGCGAGGUGUUGCAAUCCCUCUCUGCCACUGGCCUGCCUGGGUUUUGCCACCUUCCUCCCCCUUCCAUGGUGCUUAUCGCAGCGUUUUGGUAGAACUGCCCUUGUCAUAUAAAUCUGAACAUAAUUCUCUCUUUCCUGUUAAGCUAAAGAAAAUAAACGUGUAGGGCUGUUACUGGAAGCCAAGCUGUAGGACUGCCCUAAAUUCUCUUCUUAUUGAG